UAGAUUGAGUUUGGAGAUUCUCGAGUACGAUUUCGACAACAGCGUUAGAUUAUUGACAAUCCAGUGAGACGAAUAAGACAAUCAAGAUGGAAUUGCAAAAGGCAAAUUCAUAACAAUAUGAAAUUGUGAAAUUAACAAACAGAAUGCAAAUUUUCAUAACACAAACAAAAUCAGACGAUAUCAUAUGGUCAAGCAGCUAUAUCUCCCUCAAAUUACAUAUUCAAGUAUAAACAUAGUAUUCACGGACACAACGCAGCGAUGCUGAUAUUAUAGAUCACACCUAUUUUGUAAUUAGUUUGAUUUUCGAAGAAGAAGCUUUAAGAGCACUUUAUAAAGAUUUUUGAGGUAUGCAAGAAGUAUGCAAGCCAAACCAGCAUUUUGGCAGUUAUACAAUGUGUGGACGUCCAACCAAAUAAGUACCCAUACUAAGCUUCGAAUAUUUAAUUUGAGGGUCAAAUCAACGUUUUACGGAUGCGAAACGUGGAUAAAUACGGAUUCUAUUCAAUCGCGUGUCCAAGUAUUCAUAAACAAAUGCUUAAGAAGAAUACUGAAUAUUUGGCGUUCGGAGUGCAUAUCCAAUACCGAUCUAUGGGAACGCACGCGACAAAUACAAGCUAUCACUAAAAUGAGAACAAGAAAAUAGAAGUGGAUUGACCAAACGCUUAGGAAAACAGCAUCUUGUAUAAUAAAAUUAGCCCUACGUUGGAAUUCAUAAGGUAGCCGCCGGUCUGAAGUCUCAGCUAAGACAUGGCGAAAAACCGUGUACCAAGAGCUUUAAGACACACAGUAUUCAUGGAAUGAAAUUGCAAGAGAAGCAAGCAACAGAGUAAGAUUUAGUUAAAUCAUUGAGGCUCAAUGCUCCACUAGUAGUGAAGGACGCCAGUAAGUAAGUAAGUAAGUAAGUAAGUAAUGUGAUUCAAUGAUUUAAUGUAAGUGGUACGAAUAAGUUAAAGAUAUUUUUCAUAUGAGAACAUAAGUUUU